rnacentral:rRNA from 1 species
CACUCUAGAGAGACUGCCAGGGAUAACCUGGAGGAAGGUGGGGAUGACGUCAAAUCAUCAUGCCCCUUAUGCUUAGGGCUACACACGUGCUACAAUGGGUAGUACAGAGGGUUGCCAAGCCGUAAGGCGGAGCUAAUCCCUUAAAGCUACUCUCAGUUCGGAUUGUAGGCUGAAACUCGCCUACAUGAAGCUGGAGUUACUAGUAAUCGCAGAUCAGAAUGCUGCGGUGAAUGCGUUCCCGGGUCUUUUACACACCGCCCGUCACACCACGGGAGUUGGAGACGCCCGAAGCCGAUUAUCUAACCUUUUGGAAGAAGUCGUCG